CUUGAAGGAGGAGCAGCCCCUUCAAAACCGAGCUGUGUGCCUGGGCUGUGUCCCCACUGCGCUCCUGCACGACCCCCGGUGCCUGCCCACUGAGGGUCAGGAUGGCCCACUAUGUUGCAGAGCAGUCUGACAGCCCUGAGUGAAAAUGUGAAGCCUGGAGGGGACUUUUUCUGACUUCGUCUGGCAUCCAGCGAAGACACUGUGACCCCCUGGGAGCUGCAGUGUGGCACUGCGUGUAUUUGACAAGCUGAGUCCGACACUCAGUGUGCAGAGUGUCAGUUUGUCAAAUACCCCAAGUGAGGCAUUGCUGAGCAACACGGUGCACGCCAAGGGUCCAGCCCCUCCCUCCUGCUCUGGCACGAGUCUUCCUCUCCAGGCUCUGCACCUCUCCAGAAACCCACUGAUGUACUGAACGGCCUGUCCCCCUGCUACAGAACACCUGACUGAUCCUGUGCUUCCACAUUUCCCUU